AGUGAACGCUGGCGGCGUGCUUAACACAUGCAAGUCGAACGAGAACGGAUUAUAGCUUGCUAUAAUUGUCAGCUAAGUGGCGUACGGGUGAGUAAUGUAUAGGUAAUAUGCCUUUUACUAAGGGAUAACAAUUGGAAACGAUUGCUAAUACCUUAUACUCCUAUUUAACAUAAGUUAAAUAGGGAAAGAUUUAUUGGUAAGAGAUUGGCCUGUAUUGUAUCAGUUAGUUGGUGGGGUAAUGGCCUACCAAGACGAUGACGCAUAACUGGUUUGAGAGGAUGAUCAGUCACACUGGAACUGAGACACGGUCCAGACUCCUACGGGAGGCAGCAGUGGGGAAUAUUGCACAAUGGACGGAAGUCUGAUGCAGCAACGCCGCGUGGAGGAUGACACAUUUCGGUGCGUAAACUCCUUUUAUAUGAGAAGAUAAUGACGGUAUUAUAUGAAUAAGCACCGGCUAACUCCGUGCCAGCCGCCGCGGUAAAAC
rnacentral:rRNA from 1 species